AACGAACGCUGGCGGCAUGCCUAACACAUGCAAGUCGAACGAGACCUUCGGGUCUAGUGGCGCACGGGUGCGUAACGCGUGGGAACCUGCCUUUAGGUUCGGAAUAACUCAGAGAAAUUUGAGCUAAUACCGGAUAAUGUCUUCGGACCAAAGAUUUAUCGCCUUUAGAUGGGCCCGCGUUGGAUUAGCUAGUUGGUGGGGUAAAGGCCUACCAAGGCGACGAUCCAUAGCUGGUCUGAGAGGAUGAUCAGCCACACUGGGACUGAGACACGGCCCAGACUCCUACGGGAGGCAGCAGUGGGGAAUAUUGGACAAUGGGCGAAAGGCCUCGAUCCAGCAAUGCCGCG
rnacentral:rRNA from 1 species